GACAACUGGCAGGAUGUCGGAGAACGCCUUGUCCUUCAAAGCAGAUGCGUCGGAUAACAAAGCCCGCUAUACUUGCGAGGCAAAGAACGUAAUGAUCAGCAACACACUGAAGGCGGAGAUUGACUUAACUGUUCUGUUCGCUCCAUCCCACGUGACGAUAUCCGGCCCCUCCGAAGCGAGAGUGGGGACCCAGUGCCCCUGACCUGCAGUACAGCACCUUCCAACCCUGCAGCGGAGAUCAAAUGGGUGGUCCUCGGAAAACAGCAUAAGGAGGCAAACAAUAGAACUGCUAUAUCGCCUGAAGGUGGCUGGGUGACCACAUCCAACGUGACGGUGAUGGUGGAGCCGAAACGCACUUCCGUGGUGGUGGUAUGCCAUGGUAUCAACGGACAACUGGCAGAGAACGUGGUAGCAACACAUACCAUCAACGUGCUGUGUA